UGUCAAUGAUAAAUACACACCAUGAGGCAUUAGUAAGGUAUCAGGGCGUAAUGAAUUCUUCAUUUAAUUAUGGAACAUUACUCCUGCAUUAACACACAUCAUAAUGUAAUUCAUAAAAACAGAUAUAAGUGGUUUUUGUCGUCUUCUGGGUUAAGUCAGCCACUUAUUGCUUACCUGUGCCUUACAAAGGAAACACAGGACAGCUUGAUCUGAAGACUCAAACACAGUCAUGUUCACAAUAGAAGGAAACAAACUCAAAGUGAUACAGAACUUUACAAUAUUAUGAGAUGAAAAUAAAAUCUGUUUGAGGUUUAAAGAAUAAUCAAAUCUAUAAAUGACCAGAGUCUAAGCUGAGGAAAAAAUGUCUUAACUGAAGUUACAGGCUGGACUCAAAGUCUUUCAGAAGGGAAAGUCCACGGUCUCUAUGUCCAACAAUCCCAGCAGGUAAGUCAGGCUAAAACUGGCUCCUGGGAGGAAAAGAGGAGGAAGAAUACAAACACAGAAACAGCAGACUGACCAUACAGAGGUGAGUAACCACCACUAUAAACCACCUGUCCUCUGUAUUUAAAGGAGCCAGCUGUGUUCCAGCAGGGUCCCCUCCAAUGUGGUGUAAGGUGUGGUUAACACAUGCGUAGGUUCUAUACUGACACUGUGUUUUUAUACGGUUGUCCAGGCUUGUCGCUCCUUCCUGUGCCUCUCACUCUUACCCCACUCUUCUUACUUCUAACGCUUUUCCUGUUAUGUUUUUUUCCUCUUUCACCACAUCCAAACGGUCACGGUCUAAUUUCCUGAUGAGUCACUUAAACACUGAGAUUGAAAAUACAGACAAAGUUAUGUCUUCAAAAUAUGACACAUGACUCCAGCAGUACCACACAUGCUCGCUGCAUGUUGUUUCUCCUCUGAGUUUAAUUGUGAAAGUCAUUUGCUAUAAAAAAAAACAUUUUAUUUUGAAGGAUCAACAGGAAAUUAUCAGGGUUUCUCUGUCUAACUUAAGAGCACCAAACCUUUAGUGCAUCAGCAGCUGCGUGUUGUUGUUAACAGGACUUUAACCAGAGAUGAAGAUGUUGCUGCCACUCCUGCUCCUCGUACUCGUUUCCCAGCAUGUCCUGGCUCCAGUGGUGGAGGUGUAUGAGAAGGAAAAAUCUGUCCUGUUGCCUUUCAAGUACUCAGGUUUUAUACCUGAGGACAAUCCCACAGUGCUGUGGACUCGCGAUGAUCUCAACCCGAAAUCUGUCCACCUACGACGAGAAGAAACAGAUGAUCUGAAAGGGCAACAUCAGCGUUACAGAGGGCGCACAUCAAUGAGGCCUGAUGCUCUGGACACUUUAGACUUCAGCCUCACUCUGAGAAAACCCAGACUGACUGAUAGUGGCAACUACACCUGCUCCAUUGGAAAUGAAAGGGAGGAACUGAAACUGACAGACAUACAGCUGCAUGUCAAAGUUACAGGUGACACAAGGAGGACAAGUCCAUGGAGACCUCAAAGGCCUGAGAGCAUCACCAUAUUUGGAUGGAUGCCAGAAAGGGGAACUUCUGUGUCUGCAGUUAAUUCUUAAAAUACAUGAAUGCUCUGUACAUGCAAAUUAUGUGCUUGUAAACGCAAGAGGGGGCGUCAUAAUACCCUGAUGUUAUAAAAGCAAUCUAGAGUGUAUUUUGGGUAGAGAUGUACAACUGAUGUUUUGCAGUUUACACCUCUCCACGCUGCGUGCAUUCAUUAAAAUCAAUUGUUUGACCGACCUCUUCUGGACCAUCAUUGUUUUACUCUCGUCCUCAAUUUCGAACCCGUAACAAAAACAAAAAAACAAAAAACAGGCAAAAAUCCACAGAUGUACAGAAGCAUUUACAGCCUUUGCCGGGACACUAAAAAAUUAGCUCAGUUGAAUCUUGUUCCCUCUGAUAAUCAGUCAGAUGUUUCUUGAUUGGAGUCCACCUGUGGUAGAUGCAGUUGAUUGGACAUGAGUUGGACAGGCACACACCUGUCUCUAUAAGGUCCCAUAGUUGACAGUACCUGUCAGAACACAAAUCGAGCCUUGAAGUCCAAGGAAUUGUCUGCAGACCUCUGAGACAGUAUGCAUUGUAUCAAGGCACAGAUCUGGGGAACAGUCCCGAUGAGCACAGUGGCCUCCGUCAUCUGUAAAUGGAAGAACACCUACCAGGACUCUUUCUAGAGUUGGCUGUCCAGCCCAUCUUAGUGAUUGGCUAGAAGGGCCUUAGUCAGGGAGAUUACCAAAAACCUUAUGGUCACUGUAAGAGAGCUCCAGUGUUGCUCAGUGGAGAGAGGGGAACCUUCCAGAAGGAGAGCUAUAUCUGCAGCACUCAACCAAACAGGGCUGUAUGGUAGAGCAGCCAGACUGAAGCUACACAUGACAGGCUACCUAGAGUUUACCCAAAAGCCCCUGAAGGACUCUCAGAUCAUGAGAAAGAAAAUUCUCUGGUCUAAUGAAACCAAUAUUGAACUCUUUGGUCUGAAUCCCAAGUGUCAUGUCUGAAGAAAACCAGGCAACACUGGUCACUUGGUCAUUACUCUCCCUACAGUGAAACAUGGUGGUGGCAGCAUCAUGCCGUGGGAUAUUUUUCAGUGGAAAGAACUAGAAGAUUUCCUAAAUGCACCAAUGUAUAGACACCUUCUUGAUAAUAAUCUCUUCCAGAGUGCUCUGGACCUUGGACUGGGUGAAGGUUCAUCUUCCAACAGGAAGACAUAGAGACAAGGAGUGCUUUGGGACCACUUUGUGGUAUUUGUUUUUGAGUAGACCAGCCAAAGCCCAGACAAGAACCCAAUCAAACAUCUCUGGAGAGAUUUGAAAAUGGCUGUGCACAAGGGCUGGGUAUUGUCACUGAUUCGAUUUGGAUUCAAUCUUGCCUCAGACAUUCAGAAAUAUUUUAAUUCUGAUCAUUUAUCAAUCAGUACUGACACUUGUGAGACUUCAUCAGAGGAGUAAACAUCACAGCAGAUGCCUUUGUUUCAAAGUAGCUGGCCUGGCUUUUUAUAGCAGAUAACUGCCUCAAAAAUGUUCAGCAAUCAUGAAUCAACAUAUGAACAUUACCUGAUGCUGCUGAAGUGAAGCAGAGCAAAGUUACAGAGUUUUUAUUAGAGACACAGCUAAGAGUUUUGCAAUUUGGCAUCGUUUGUAAAUUUCUUUGGUAUUGAACAGCAGAAUUUAGACUUUUUUGUUGGAGGUCAUUUUUGAAAAAAGAAAAAAAAGCAGCGGCCAACAGCACUGUACACAAUGGUAGACUGGUCCAUAAUAAGCAAGCGAAUAAUGCAGAAAACAGAGAUUUCAGUUUGGAAACUGGUCUCUAAGAACAGAGCUGUGCAGGAAGUGUGAUUUUAUAGUGGUGGAAGCAAAAGCUAAGGGAGGAGGGAAUUAAUGAUGAUGUUUAUCAAAUGCGAAGCGUAGUUUAGAUAUUCUUUUGCUGCUGGUUCAGUGAAUUUUGGUUGGAGAGUGACAAAACCUGUAACAUCAGAAUCUGUGAGAUGUCGGCUUUCAGUCCUGAUGGUGUGUCCGUGUACGUGCCGUCGGUAGGUGCCAAGCUUGCAGCAUCAUACUGAGAAAGACUCAAGGCUGUACUUGCUGCCAAAGUUGCUUCAACAAAGCAGUGAGCAAAACCAAGAACUUAAGGUGACUGUCAUUGAAGGCUCACACUCUGUCAUCCUGCCCUGCAAAACAAAACCUGACCUGCCCGAGGACACCAGAGUGGAGUGGACUCACUCUGAUGGAAAAUUAAUGGUGGUGUAUUCAAACAAUAGUGUUCACCUGAUAGAAUUGGACAAUGUUUCUUGCGGCUGUGGAAUGAUGAAUGAAGACUUACUGGAAACUGGAGACCUCAGUCUGAUCCUGGAAAACCCCACAUAUGACGACACAGGAGGAUACAUCUGUACCAUCUACAGGGAAAAAGACAUCCUGAGACAGAAAGUAGUGCUGCUGGUUGAAGAACCAUGUCCAUCCUGGGACAGAGUUAUUCUGGUUCUCUUGGGCCUCCUGGUUUUCCUGGUUCUCCUGGUUCUUCUUGUGGUUUCUGGAGGUCUCAUAUAUUAUUUCUGUAAGCAUUUUAAUUCAGGUGAGUGUCUCCUACUACACUACCCACAAUGUUGAAGGUUAGCAGGUGUCCUCUGGUGGCUCCUUGACUGUGGCUCACACAAAGUUGAGAGUUACAAACAGCUGAUACAGAGAGCUGAAGAGAAACUUCAAGGUUUGUUCCAGAAGUCAGAAAACCUCCUUCAGACUCAGUCAUUGAUCAGUGAAACAGCUCCACAUCAUGACUUUACUAAACAGUAGACCUUUCUCAAUUCUCAAGUACGGACUCGAGAUUUGUACAGUUGGAAGAGCAGUGUACUUGAUGAUGUCACAGGUCCGGAGUUUUUACUGCCGUCCCCUCUUAAUUUACCUGUGAUUAAUAUGUUAUGAAGCUUAACUUUGAUGUUAGCCAAACCGAUUUUCUCAGGAACAAAUUAAACACUGAAAUAAACCAAACGUUAACAUUUAGAAGUUAUGUAAAAGACUUUUAUAUCAGUUCCUGUUAGGAGUGCAGCAGCAUUUUGAACCAGCUGCAGAUGUGAGAGCAACGACUGACUCACCCCCACCCUCAGUGAGUUACAGUAGUCCAGACAGUGAGAAAUAAAAGCAUCGAUCACUGUUUGAAGGUACUGCCUAAAAAGAAAAGAUUUCACUCUUGCCAGUCGCCUUAAAUGAUAAAAACUGGACUUUACCACUGCUCUAAUUUGGCUGUCCAAUUUAAAAUCACUGUCCAACUUAAAACCAAGGUCAGGUUUAAAAUAAACUUCCAGGGGUCCCAAAUCUACAGAGGACGACUCACAGGGAUCACUGGGUCCAAACACUAACACCUCUGUUUUCUUUUCAUUAAAAUUUAAAAAGUUUAAAGCGAAACAAGCUUUAAUGUCAUCUACUGUGGCUUGCAAAAGUAUUCGGCCCCCUUGAACUUUUUCACAUUUUGUCACAUUACAGCCACAAACAUGAAUCAGUUUUAUUGGAUUUCCACGUGAAAGACCAAUACAAAGUGGUGUACACGUGAGAAGUGGAACGAAAAUCAUACAUGAUUCCAAACAUUUUUUUACAAAUAAAUAACUGAAAAGUGGGGUGUGCGUAAUUAUUCAGCCCCCGUUGGUCUGAGUGCUAUUCCUUAGCUAUUCCGAGUUGGCCGAAUAGCUAAGGUUCGGGAAAGGC